rnacentral:rRNA from 1 species
GGUCCUGCCUGCCCAGUGACUAUAUGUUUAACGGCCGCGGUACUUUGACCGUGCGAAGGUAGCGCAAUCACUUGUCUUUUAAAUGGAGACCUGUAUGAAUGGCACGACGAGGGCUUAACUGUCUCCUUUUUCCAGUCAAUGAAAUUGAUCUUCCCGUGCAGAAGCGGGAAUAAUAUCAUAAGACGAGAAGACCCUGUGGAGCUUUAGACACUAAAUCAGCCCUUGUCCAAAAAUCCCAAUUAAAGGAAUGAACACUAGAGCGAGACCUGAUCUAAUGUCUUCGGUUGGGGCGACCUUGGGGAAAAAAAAUCCCCCAUGCGGAACGGAAAUACCAUGUUUCCAAAACUAAGAGAGACCACUCAAAGUAUCAAAAAUUUUGACCAACUAUAUGAUCCGGCUUAACGCCGAUCAACGGACCGAGUUACCCCAGGGAUAACAGCGCAAUCCUCUUUUAGAGCCCAUAUCGACAAGAGGGUUUACGACCUCGAUGUUGGAUCAGGACAUCCUAAUGGUGCAGCCGCUAUUAAGGGUUCGUUUGUUCAACGAUUAAAGUCCUACGUGA